rnacentral:rRNA from 1 species
GUUAAGCGACUAAGCGUACACGGUGGAUGCCCUGGCAGUCAGAGGCGAUGAAGGACGUGCUAAUCUGCGAUAAGCGUCGGUAAGGUGAUAUGAACCGUUAUAACCGGCGAUUUCCGAAUGGGGAAACCCAGUGUGUUUCGACACACUAUCAUUAACUGAAUCCAUAGGUUAAUGAGGCGAACCGGGGGAACUGAAACAUCUAAGUACCCCGAGGAAAAGAAAUCAACCGAGAUUCCCCCAGUAGCGGCGAGCGAACGGGGAGCAGCCCAGAGCCUGAAUCAGUGUGUGUGUUAGUGGAAGCGUCUGGAAAGGCGCGCGAUACAGGGUGACAGCCCCGUACACAAAAAUGCACAUGCUGUGAGCUCGAUGAGUAGGGCGGGACACGUGGUAUCCUGUCUGAAUAUGGGGGGACCAUCCUCCAAGGCUAAAUACUCCUGACUGACCGAUAGUGAACCAGUACCGUGAGGGAAAGGCGAAAAGAACCCCGGCGAGGGGAGUGAAAAAGAACCUGAAACCGUGUACGUACAAGCAGUGGGAGCACGCUUAGGCGUGUGACUGCGUACCUUUUGUAUAAUGGGUCAGCGACUUAUAUUCUGUAGCAAGGUUAACCGAAUAGGGGAGCCGAAGGGAAACCGAGUCUUAACUGGGCGUUAAGUUGCAGGGUAUAGACCCGAAACCCGGUGAUCUAGCCAUGGGCAGGUUGAAGGUUGGGUAACACUAACUGGAGGACCGAACCGACUAAUGUUGAAAAAUUAGCGGAUGACUUGUGGCUGGGGGUGAAAGGCCAAUCAAACCGGGAGAUAGCUGGUUCUCCCCGAAAGCUAUUUAGGUAGCGCCUCGUGAAUUCAUCUCCGGGGGUAGAGCACUGUUUCGGCAAGGGGGUCA